rnacentral:lncRNA from 1 species
CUACCUUGGCCUCCCAAAGUGCUGGGAUUAUAGGGUGAGCCAUCGCGCCCGGCCCCUUUUGAUUUCUUUACAGAAUAUUGCUGUAGUAUAACUUUUUUCCAUGCACUUAAUUUUUGUUCCCUUGUUGGCAUAUUUCAUUUUCUUCCCUGAAAAUGGGUAGACUGAGAUAAGGUAUGAGGAAGCCUUGGCCAUGCCACCAGCCGCUUAUCCCAAAUUCCUGAUCCCUGGAAGACAUCUGGGCUCUCCCUCCUGUUCCAGCCCAGUAGCUUCCAGCAAAGGUACUGGCUCAAUUGGACACGGAGUGUGGAACUGCCUGCUCACACUUGUGAACCCCCGUCCAGAAGGAAGAAACAGAAAGGGCCCAGUGAGUAUAGGAAGAUGCCAGGGCCCACUGUGGAAAGCCUGGAGCCAAGUUUUUCUUAAAUGCAAAUGUCCCCAGUGUGGGGUCACGUCCAAGCUCCAGAAGGAAGCCUGGCCUGGGCGGGGGGGUGGGAGGGCUGUUGCUAGAACCUGUCAAUCCUGCUCCACACUUCCGAGUUUUCCGUGGCUUCUCCUGAAACCCGGGCCUAGGGGGUGGGGCUUGAUUCCUAUCCUAGGGGUACUGGGCGGGGUCGUGUAAAUUAUCCAAUCAGGCGCUCCGCCAGGAGGGUGGGGCCAAGCUCCGCAAGUCUAAGGGGCUCCUGUUCCCCUAACCCACUGAAUUCAGCCUUCCAGAGGCCGAGGUGGCUCCACCACAGCUUCUGUCCGGUGGUGACCAGCACUGAUCUCCGGAGCCAAGGGAGGACCCGGGACACCUGGGAGCCGGGAAAUGUUUUCCAUGGCUCCGAGACAAUGACACCGCUUCAGUGUGAACUCUCAUGAAUUGAGUCUAGAUCCCCAGUGCUGUCCGUCUCACCUGUCCUCCUCUACACAUAUCUGGGAUAUGUCACGGCUUGGUGGUCUUUGAAGAUGUGACUCUGAACUUCAUCCAGAAGGAGUAGGCUUUGCUGGAUUUUUCCGUGAAGAAUCUGUAGAGAUGUGAUGAGGGAAGCCAUCAGCACCUGGCUUCUAUAGCUGCAGCCCAAGAGGCCAACUGGAACGUUAACAUCAGACACUAAUCCAGCUGACUGAAAGGGACAGAGCAAGAUGGCGGAAUAGAAAGCUCCCCUGAUCAUCCUCCUGCAAGGACACCAAAUUAACAACUAUCACACAGAAAAAACACCUUCAUGAGAACCAAAAAUCAGAAAUUAAAACUUCAGUCCUGCCUGAAUUGUUUGAAGAUGAAUAGACUGAAUGUUCUGGAAGAGGGCUCAACCACAGGUCUUGAAAUAUCGUUGAUGGGCAACUUGUUCUCUAAGUGAAGGAAUGUUGUCGUCAUCACCUACUGAAGCCAGGUUCCUAUAGG